GACGAACGCUGGCGGCGUGCUUAACACAUGCAAGUCGAACGGAAAGGCCCUGCUUUUGGGGGGUGCUCGAGUGGCGAACGGGUGAGUAACACGUGAGUAACCUGCCCUUGCCUUUGGGAUAACUUCAGGAAACUGGGGCUAAUACCGGAUAGGAGCUCCUGCUGCAUGGUGGGGGUUGGAAAGUUUCGGCGGUUGGGGAUGGACUCGCGGCUUAUCAGCUUGUUGGUGGGGUAGUGGCUUACCAAGGCUUUGACGGGUAGCCGGCCUGAGAGGGUGACCGGCCACAUUGGGACUGAGAUACGGCCCAGACUCCUACGGGAGGCAGCAGUGGGGAAUAUUGCACAAUGGGCGGAAGCCUGAUGCAGCAACGCCGCGUGCGGGAUGACGGCCUUCGGGUUGUAAACCGCUUUCGCCUGUGACGAAGCGUGAGUGACGGUAAUGGGUAAAUAAGCACCGGCUAACUACGUG
rnacentral:rRNA from 1 species